CCCGCGGCCUAUCAGCUUGUUGGUGGGGUAACGGCCCACCAAGGCGACGACGGGUAGCCGGCCUGAGAGGGCGACCGGCCACACUGGGACUGAGACACGGCCCAGACUCCUACGGGAGGCAGCAGUGGGGAAUAUUGCACAAUGGGCGAAAGCCUGAUGCAGCGACGCCGCGUGAGGGAUGACGGCCUUCGGGUUGUAAACCUCUUUCAGCAGGGAAGAAGCGCAAGUGACGGUACCUGCAGAAGAAGCACCGGCUAACUACGUGCCAGCAGCCGCGGUAAUACGUAGGGUGCGAGCGUUGUCCGGAAUUAUUGGGCGUAAAGAGCUCGUAGGCGGCCUGUCGCGUCGGAUGUGAAAGCCCGGGGCUUAACCCCGGGUCUGCAUUCGAUACGGGCAGGCUAGAGUGUGGUAGGGGAGAUCGGAAUUCCUGGUGUAGCGGUGAAAUGCGCAGAUAUCAGGAGGAACACCGGUGGCGAAGGCGGAUCUCUGGGCCAUUACUGACGCUGAGGAGCGAAAGCGUGGGGAGCGAACAGGAUUAGAUACCCUGGUAGUCCACGCCGUAAACGUUGGGAACUAGGUGUUGGCGACAUUCCACGUCGUCGGUGCCGCAGCUAACGCA
rnacentral:rRNA from 2 species